AUUGAACGCUGGCGGCAUGCCUUACACAUGCAAGUCGAACGGUAACAGGUCUUCGGAUGCUGACGAGUGGCGAACGGGUGAGUAAUACAUCGGAACGUGCCUGGUAGUGGGGGAUAACUACUCGAAAGAGUGGCUAAUACCACAUGAGAUCUAAGGACGAAAGCAGGGGAGCGCAAGACCUUGUGUUACCAGAGCGGCCGAUGGCAGAUUAGGUAGUUGGUGGGAUAAAAGCUUACCAAGCCGACUAUCUGUAGCCGGUCUGAGAGGACGAUCAGCCACACUGGGACUGAGACACGGCCCAGACUCCUACGGGAGGCAGCAGUGGGGAAUUUUGGACAAUGGGCGCAAGCCUGAUCCAGCAAUGCCGCGUGCAGGAUGAAGGCCUUCGGGUUGUAAACUGCUUUUGUACGGAACGAAAAGCCCUGGGUUAAUACCCUGGGGUCAUGACGGUACCGUAAGAAUAAGCACCGGCUAACUACGUGCCAGCCGCCGCGGUAAUAC
rnacentral:rRNA from 1 species